rnacentral:rRNA from 1 species
UACGAAGGGGGCUAGCGUUGCUCGGAAUCACUGGGCGUAAAGCGCACGUAGGCGGAUUGCUAAGUCAGGGGUGAAAUCCUGGAGCUCAACUCCAGAACUGCCUUUGAUACUGGUGAUCUUGAGUCCGGGAGAGGUGAGUGGAACUGCGAGUGUAGAGGUGAAAUUCGUAGAUAUCAAGCGGAACACCGAUGGCGAAGGCGGCCUUCUGGACAGUGACUGACGCUGAGACGCGAAAGCGUGGGGAGCAAACAGG